AUUAAAGACCAAGAAUGCUAUAAUAUAUAUAUAUAUAUAUAUAUUUAAAAUUAAUUUAGAAUGGAUCAGACACGAUCGUUAUGAAUUAUAAAAUACUAUUUUGCAGCUCUAUAUUCAAAAAUCAAGCUAGAGAUUUUAAUUAAACUAAUCUCAUCCCCACCACGUUGGUUGAUUACCAAUGCUAUAAUCUUUCUUUCGAUUCUCUAUAUAGUUCCAGAUUUCAAGCACUUAAUUUCUUGGCAGUUCACACCACACGCACCAAACAGAUGGCAAGCAUUGCACAAGUAGCAGGAGUAGAUGCAACAGGCCUAGCAAACAUGAUCAUAUCAGCAGCAAGAAACGCCACCACUCAUCGGAAAAACUGCGAGCAGCUGGCUGAGCAUGUGAAGCUGAUAGGUAACUUGCUAGAAAAGUUAAAAUCUACUGACCUGAUGAACUUGCCUGCUACGAAAGAACCACUGGAUGGCAUGGAAGAGGCUUUAAGAAAAGCACUUGAUUUGGUGGAGAGUUGCAAAGACAAGAGCUAUCUUUACAUGCUUGCUUUGGGUUGGAAUGUUGUUUAUCAGUUUAAGCAAGUCCAAGCUGAGAUUGAUCGGUAUCUUAAGCUUGUGCCCUUGAUUUCUCUUGUUCAUGAGUUCAGGAUGCAGAAUAUAGAGGAAGGCUUACAAGCCAUUGAAGGGGAUCAUAGAGAAUACACACUUGAGGAAGAGGAUAUAGCAGCUCAGAGUGUGAUAUUGAAACCUGACAGGACAAGAAAAGAUGCCAACAUAUUGGAGAAGUCAUUGUCUCGACGGUAUCCUGAAUUGGAAUUCCUUGAAGCUCUCCAAGAAGAGAAAGAGAAACUGCAUAUUGAGCUGCAAAGAUCAAGAACAAUCAACGAUACAAACCAAUGUCGCGUCAUAGAACAUCUCAUUGAUGUUACAGAAAAUGUUGUAAAUGCGAUUCCUGAAAAGAAGGUUACUAAACUUCUUGUCAAUGAACCAACUUACUUGAUUUCGGGGUACAUAAGCAACGCACAGUCCAGCUAUGGAGACCUGAAGCCUGAUGAUGAGAAGGGUCAAUCUGAGUGGCAGGUUGAUCUUUUUGAUUGUUGCAAAGAGCCUUGUUUGAGCUUGAACACUUGCAUCUAUCCCUGUGGCACAUUUUCAAGGAUUGCCAAUCUUGUGUCAGAAGGGGAAAUACCUCAUGAACGUGCUGUCAAUGAUGUAAUGGCAUAUGCCAUCUUCUGUGGAUGCUGCUGUUACACCUGCUGCUUUAGGAGGAGAAUUCGGCAAAUAUUUGACAUAGAAGUAAAUAUAUUUCUGCAUCAUGGAAAAUUGGAACACCUUCAAAUGUUAAUAUAGGUUUGAAUAAACGAAUUUAACAAAGCGGAAGCAGCAAAAAAUGAGGAGGUGCAUGUGAUGACUUCUUAACUCAUCUCAUGUGUUGCUGUUGCGCAAUGGUUCAAGAAUUGAGAGAGCUUGAAGUAAGAGGCUUUGAAGGUUGUCAAGAGAGAAAGAUGAUUCCUCCACCUUACCAAUACAUGAACCCUUGAACCAUCCGUCCAUCUCUGUACAAAACCUUUGUCAUCCAGGUUCUGCUGCAAUGCCAGAGGCACAAUGAGCGUUUUCUAGUUUUGCAA